AAAGAAUGUGCCUAAGAUCGUAUGUUUCGGAUCUUCGACAUCAACGAAGGAAACACGGAUUGCGUUGUUCAUGUAAAGGACAUCGUUAAUCUUCGGUUCAAUUAAAAAAUAAUGCGAGAAAACGAGUCGAAACUGGAGGGAAAAUAUAUAAUGGCUAAUUGCGCAAUAGUGACAUUAAUCAUUUAUGUUUACCGUCUUUAAAAAGAUGUAUGAUACGAAAGAUUCACGUACAACUCGACGGAAACACGCGAUAAUUGCAUAAAUAUUUGCCAUAAAUUUUACCAUAGGAUUUAAAUGGCGCCAAAUGGAAAAAAACACAGCUCCUUACUCUUUGCACUGCCGUGAAUCAUCAUCCUUUUAUAACCGAGAACAUGAAAGAGAGGAUUUUGGACGCAUAUGCAAGUAUAAAUUCAAAAGUGAUAAAAGGGACAAGAAUAUCAUUUAUGUAUUGUAUUUAAAAAUAUAUUGAAGUCAGAGGAUCAUUUUGAACACUUCUUUAAAUAAAUUUCUGAAAAACGUAAAUAAUUUGGUUUUUCUGUUUUCCUCAAUCAUACUGUUUCCAGAUCAUUUAUAUUCAAGAUCAUUUAAAGAUCAUAUUGUCAUAGCUGAAGUCCUCUCUAUAAAACAAGAACAUAUUAAACAAUUAUCUUGACCUUUAAAUCUCUGAAAAAAUAAUCUUGAAAAAAAAAACUCUGUCAUCAUCAUUGCUCUAUCGAACAAUGCAACUUCUUUUUUAGAUAUUUUUUGUAUUAUUAAAAACAAGUGAGAUAUUAAAAUGCUCGAUUUAAGUGAAUAUGUAUAUAUAACAUAUAUAUAUAUAUAUAUAUAUAUAUAUAUAUAUAUAUAUAUAUGU